rnacentral:rRNA from 1 species
AUACGGAGAUGGCAAACGUUGCUCGGAAUCACUGGGCGUAAAGAGCGCGUAGGCGGUCCGAUAAGUUGGGUGUUAAAUCCUAUGGCUUACCCAUAGAAUCGCAUCCAAUACUGUCGGACUUGAGUGCUGGAGGGGAGAGUGGAACUCCUGGUGGAGCGGUGAAAUGCGUAGAUAUCAGGAGGAACGCCGGUGGCGAAGGCGACUCUCUUGACGGUUACUGACGCUGAGUGCGCGAAAGCUAGGGUAGCGAACGGGAUUAGAAACCCCAGUAGUCC